UCUGUCUCUCUCUCUUGGUUUUGCAAAAAAAAAAAAAGAAAGAAAAGAAACUUGCUUUCUUUGUUUGUCUUGAAAAUGAAGGAAUCUCAAAUACUUUGUUACUGAAAUCCUAAUUUUACUUCAUCACUCAUCAUCACUCAUCAGUAUAGAGUUUUUCAAGUACAUUUUCAGUUAUGAAAUUCAAAAAGGGGGGAGAUAAUGGAGUGAGUGAGAGUUGAUUUUGAUUGAUCAAAUGGCAGGUUCAACAUCGUCAACAAGAGGAAGAAGUAGUUCACCAUUUGGAUAUACAAAAUCAACAAGUUCAAUUUCAUCAUCAUCUUCAUCAUCAUCACUUGUAAUGAAUAAUAAUAGUAAUAGUAAUGGUAAAACCACUAUUCCAAGACCUACUUCAUCAUCAUCAUCUCUUUAUGGAUCUGGUAGUGGUAAUGGAAUUAAUACAUUAGCUUUGACACCAAGUCAAGCCCAAUCUGACUCAAUGUACAACCAAGGUUCUAUGGAUUUUGGUGGGAGUAUUGUUGCUGUUAAUGAUGAUGCCAUUCCUGAUACUAUUGAUACUUCAGCUGCUGGAGAUAGUAUUUCUGUUACUGUUAGAUUUAGACCUUUGAGUGAGCGGGAAUUUCAGCGUGGUGAUGAAAUUGCUUGGUAUCCUGAUGGUGAUAAAAUUGUUCGGAAUGAACCUAAUCCUGCUCUGGCUUAUGCAUUUGAUAAGGUAUUUGGGCCAGCCACAGAAACACAAGAUGUGUAUGAAAUUGCUGCUCAACCUGUGAUCGAGUCUGCAAUGGAUGGUAUAAAUGGGACUGUUUUUGCAUAUGGUGUUACAAGUAGUGGGAAGACACACACCAUGCAUGGGGAUCAAAAUUGUCCAGGUAUUAUACCGCAGGCCAUUAAGGAUGUGUUCAGAAUAAUUCAAGAUACUCCAGGAAGAGAGUUCUUACUUCGCGUCUCGUAUCUGGAAAUUUACAAUGAGAUUAUAAAUGAUUUGCUUGAUCCAGCCGGACAGAACUUGCGUGUUAGAGAAGAUUCACAGGGUACUUAUGUUGAGGGCAUAAAGGAGGAAGUGGUUUUAUCUCCUGGGCAUGCACUUUCUUUUAUUGCAGCUGGAGAAGAGCAUCGUCAUGUGGGCUCAAAUAACUUUAAUUUGUUUAGUAGCAGAAGCCACACCAUUUUCACUAUGAUGAUUGAGAGUAGUGCUCGUGGUGAUGAGUACGACGGAGUGAUAUUCUCUCAACUGAAUUUAAUUGAUCUAGCAGGGUCUGAGAGCUCAAAGACCGAAACAACCGGUCUUAGGAGGAAGGAGGGAUCUUUUAUAAACAAAAGUCUGUUAACUCUUGGAACUGUAAUUGGCAAGUUAAGUGAGGGGAAAGCAUAUCAUGUUCCAUACCGUGAUUCUAAACUUACCCGUCUUCUACAAUCCUCAUUGAGUGGUCAUGGACAUGUUUCGCUUAUAUGUACAGUUACUCCUGCAUCAAGUAAUAUGGAGGAAACUCACAACACACUGAAGUUCGCAAGCAGGGCAAAGCGAGUGGAAAUCAAUGCCUCACGGAAUACGAUAAUUGAUGAGAAGUCAUUAAUUAAGAAGUAUCAGCGGGAAAUUAUGACGCUUAAACUUGAACUUGACCAAGUAAAAAAGGGAGUAGUCGUGGGUGUCAAUCUUGAGGAGAUCAUGAGCUUGAAGCAACAGUUAGAACUGGGUCAAGUGAAAAUGCAAUCCCGAUUAGAGGAGGAAGAAGAAGCAAAAGCAGCUCUCAUGAGUAGGAUUCAAAGGCUAACAAAGCUUAUUCUGGUUUCCACAAAGAACUCAAUUCCUGGGUGUUUGAGUGAUGCACCAACUCUUAGUCAUCAACGGUCUCAUUCUCUUGGUGAAGAUGAUAAAUUGGAUGCUUUCCGGGAGGGAUCUCCAUCACUUGCAGAUGGUGAGAACCAGAAAGAUUCUCCAUCUUCUGCUCUGUCAGUCCCAUCAGAAGUCAUUUCCGAUCAUAAACACAAAAGGUCUUCCAGCAAGUGGUCUGAGGACCUAUCACUGACAGAAUCAACUCGGGCGGGGGACCUUUUCAGUGGAAUAGCCGGUGGUGCUAGAAUGUUAACAGAUGAGAUGACUAUGUCAGAUCAGAUGGAUCUGUUAGUUGAACAGGUUAAAAUGCUUGCUGGAGAGAUUGCAUUCAGCACGAGUACCUUGAAGCGUUUGCUGGAGCAAUCCACCAGUGAUCCCGAAGGAAUGCAGACACAGAUUAAGAACUUGGAACAUGAAAUACAAGAAAAGAAAAGACAUAUGAGGGUCUUGGAGAAGCGCAUUAGUGAAUGCACUGAGGCUUCAGUUGGUAAUGCGUCAUCCAUUGAGAUGCAGCAGACGGUUAUGAAAUUGACGAGCGAGUGCAGCCAGAAGGAUUUUGAGCUAGAGAUAAGAACCGCAGACAAUCGGAUUCUCCAGGAACAGCUGCAGGAUAAGUGUUCGGAAAACAAAGAAUUGCACGAAAGAGUUCUCUUCUUAGAGCAGCAAUUGGCUACGCUCAACGGAAACAGGUCAUCUAUAUCUUCUGAGCAACGUGUUUAUGAAGAAUAUAUUGAUGAGUUGCGGAGGAAAGUCCAGUCUCAGGAGUUUGAGAAUGAGAAACUAAAGCUAGAACAAGUUUAUCUUGUAGAAGAUAAUAGUGGACUGCAUGUACAAAAUCAAAAACUGGCUGAAGAAGCUUCUUACGCGAAGGAGUUGGCAUCUGCUGCUGCUGUUGAGCUGAAAAAUUUGGCAGGUGAAGUGACCAAGCUUUCAGUACAGUGCGCAAGGCAAGCAAAAGAAUUAGUGGCUGCAGAAGAAUUAAUUCACUCCAGAAACUCUGGCAUGCAUACCAGUAAUGGUGUAAUGCGCAAGCACUCCGAAAGCAAAAAUGAUAACGCAAAGCUAGGUAGAAAAGGCCGGCUUGCUAGCAAGGUUAACGAUAAUUCCGGAACUUUGUAUGAUGAUGCUGAAUAUUGGAGUCUCGAUCAAGAUGAUAUGAAGAUGGAGUUGCAGGCUAGGAAACAAAGAGAGGCGUCUCUUGAAGCAGCUCUGUCUGAAAAAGAACUUGCAGAAGAAGAAUACAGGAAGCGUAUAGACGAGGGAAAGAGAAGAGAAGCUUCACUUGAAAACGAUCUAGCAAGCAUGUGGGUGCUUGUUGCUAAGUUGAAGAAAGAGAAGGGAGCGUUACCGGAAAUGAAUAGGGAGGAGAUAUCUGGUGAUAGAAUAGAUCUUGUGGAUGGUCCGAAAACAAAUGAUACUGAUAAUACUAACAAUAUAGACAAUACACAGAACAUUCUUGAAGGUAUACAAGUUUCAGAUAGUCCGAAGCCGGUUCAUGAUGGCUCAGAGUUACAACUCAAACCGGGUAAUGAUGGUUUGGAGAUAGAACCUAAACAAAUUCAUGAUGGAUCUGAGCUAGAACCUUUUGUUGUUCGUCUGAAGGCUCGUAUGCAAGAGAUGAAGGAAAAAAAGCUUGAAGCCCUGGGGAAUGACGAUACAAAUUCUCAUGUAUGUAAAGUAUGUUUUGAAGCACCAACUGCAACACUACUUCUUCCUUGUCGACACUUUUGCUGUAAGUAAUCGUGGGUUUUCCUGGAAAAUCGUACAUGCAGUCCUUUAAUGAAAACUAGAGUGUGCAAGCCAUGUUCACUUGCCUGUUCCGAGUGUCCAAUAUGUCGCACAAACAUUUCAGACAGGAUCUUUGCUUUUCCUUCCUGAUAAAGGCUGAGUGUAUCCUGUGAGUAAAGACUGAAGGUGGUCUAAUAUAUCAAUCAGCUGUUUGUAUUUUCCCAUGUAUUAUUGGGGGUGUAAUUCUUUUAUUAAAUUGGCCAGUGUAUGUAGUUGUCUAAAUGGUUUAUUUAUACCUCGUCGAAGUCCUUGAAAGAAAUGUAAAAUAAGAUAACACUAGGAAAAACAAAUUCAAGAAAAAAGAAAUCGGGCAGAAAAAGAGAUCAGAGGAGGGGCUAAGGGACGCCUGAAGUAAAACUUUCAGAUUGGUACUUACGACUGUGUUCAUAUACCCCAGAAAAGUUUUUGGUUUCUUUUUUGUUUCAGUUUUCAGUUUUAUGUACAUAGAACGACAAUGAAAGCUACUUCCAUUUUGAGCAUUAUAUUACUAUUAUUUUUUUUUUUC